rnacentral:misc_RNA from 1 species
GAAAUGCGAUAAGUAAUGUGAAUUGCAGAAUUCAGUGAAUCAUCGAAUCUUUGAACGCACAUUGCACCUACCAGUAUUCUGGUAGGUAUGCCUGUUCGAGCGUCAUUUCAACCCUCAAGCUCUGCUUGGUGUUGGGGCCCUACGCCUCGCGCGUAGGCCCUUAAGACUAGUGGCGGACCUUCUGUGAUCCCGAGCGUAGUAAUUUUUACCGCUUUGGAGACCUGGAGGCACCGGCCGUUAAACCCCUAUUUCUCAAGGUUGACCUCGGAUCAGGUAGGAAUACCCGCUGAACUUAA